rnacentral:rRNA from 1 species
ACUCCUACGGGAGGCAGCAGUGGGGAAUAUUGGACAAUGGGGGCAACCCGUGAUCCAGCCAUGCCGCGUGAGUGAAGAAGGCCCUAGGGUCGUAAAGCUCUUUCAACUGUGAAGAUAAUGACGGUAGCAGUAGAAGAAACCCCGCAGCUACCCGUGCCAGCAGCCGCGGUAAUACGGAGGGGGUUAGCGUUGUUCGGAAUUACUGGGCGUAAAGCGCACGUAGGCGGACUAUUAAGUUAGAGGUGAAAUCCCAGGGCUCAACCCUGAACUGCCUUUAAUACUGGUAGUCUUGAUUCGAGAGAGGUGAG